rnacentral:rRNA from 1 species
UACGUAGGGUGCGAGCGUUAAUCGGAAUUACUGGGCGUAAAGGGAGCGCAGGCGGAUAUAUAAGUUAGAUGUGAAAUACCCGAGCUUAACUUGGGAAUGGCAUUUAAGACUGUAGAUCUAGAGUUUGUCAGAGGGGGGUAGAAUUCCAAGUGUAGCAGUGAAAUGCGUAGAGAUUUGGAGGAAUACCGGUGGCGAAGGCGGCCCCCUGGGAUAGAACUGACGCUCAUGCUCGAAAGCGUGGGUAGCAAACAGG